rnacentral:lncRNA from 1 species
UUUUCGUCAUUUUUUUUUUAAAAUACCGAAACCCGCCAAAAACAUGGUGUAAAAGCUAAAUAUGUUCAUACAUACUUUAAAUCAGAUAACUGAAGUAUAAAAUUACUUUUACAGUGACACGUGGGCCCCUAACUAACCAAUAAGGUGCGAGUCUGUGAACCUACAAUUUUGUCGAUGCAAGGCUAACUGAAGUCCUUGAUGCAAUCGGCUAUCUACCGGCUAUCCCGAGCCUGAAAUAUGGGGAAUUGAGGGUGGUGAGAUUAUAAAAUCCCAGUGAGUAAACAGACGCCAUCUAAACUAUCUAAAGGCGAGUAAAUGGAGGCGAAUUAAAAUAAUUCUUUUUCAAUAUAUGUUUCAUAACAUGAAUAUUCAGUUUACUCAAUUAAUCAACAUGGCUUAUAUAUCUCACAAAACUUGGCUCCUGUCAAAAUCAUUCCCGGGGAUGCCUUGGCCUAGGCAUCUGACCGAGACCACCAAGGCGGUUAAAUGUCUUUACAUCCGAAAUUCUAGCCAUGCCUUGACGUUGGCUGAGUCUCACUCUCACGCGGUGGUCCAGGUGAAGUGCACUCAAAUCUUUACCUCUAGAGACACCCUUCACACGGCUCUCCGAUCGAGGUAAGGUAUAUUUGAUUCUGUGCCCCUUCUCUUAGGUUGGUCCACAGAACCUCCACUGCAGGGAUUAUGGAUUAUUUUAUCUACCACCUGAUUUAUAAAAUCUUUAUCUGCAUGACAUGACAAUUUAUCGCAAUCUAGCCUCUCAAGGCUGAAUACAUAGUAUAUAUAUAAUUUUGAUACAAAUACCAACUUUG